UACGUAGGGGGCAAGCGUUAUCCGGAAUUACUGGGCGUAAAGCGCACGCAGGCGGUUCGCCAAGUUUGGAGUGACAGUUGUCGGCUCAACCGACAAAGGACUUCAAAAACUGGUGAACUUGAGGACGAGAGAGGAACAUGGAACUCCAGGUGUAGUAGUGAAAUGCGUAGAUAUCUGGAAGAACACCAAUGGCGAAGGCAAUGUUCUGGCUCGUUCUCUGACGCUCAGGUGCGAAAGCCAGGGGAGCGAACGGG
rnacentral:rRNA from 1 species